rnacentral:tRNA from 1 species
GAUUAAAUGACUGAAGAUAAGUGAUAAAUUGUAAAUUUAUUUAUAAGGUUUAACCUUUUUAAUCA